GUCAUCGGUUCAAAUCCGAUAAGGGGCUUUUUAGGUUU
rnacentral:tRNA from 1 species